GAUGAAGAAGCAGCGAAAUGCGAUAAGUAAUGUGAAUUGCAGAAUUCAGUGAAUCAUCGAAUCUUUGAACGCACAUUGCGCCCGCCAGUAUUCUGGCGGGCAUGCCUGUUCGAGCGUCAUUACAACCCUCAGGCCCCCGGGCCUGGCGUUGGGGAUCGGCGGAAGCCCCCUGCGGGCACAACGCCGUCCCCCAAAUACAGUGGCGGUCCCGCCGCAGCUUCCAUUGCGUAGUAGCUAACACCUCGCAACUGGAGAGCGGCGCGGCCACGCCGUAAAACACCCAACUUCUGAAUGUUGACCUCGAAUCAGGUAGGAAUACCCGCUGAACUUAAGCAUAUCAAUAAGCGGAGGA
rnacentral:misc_RNA from 1 species